CCUACGGGAGGCAGCAGUAGGGAAUAUUGCUCAAUGGGGGAAACCCUGAAGCAGCAACGCCGCGUGGAGGAUGAAGGUUUUCGGAUCGUAAACCCCUUUUGUUAGAGAAGAUAAUGACGGUAUCUAACGAAUAAGCACCGGCUAACUCCGUGCCAGCAGCCGCGGUAAUACGGAGGGUGCAAGCGUUAUUCGGAUUCACUGGGCGUAAAGAGCGCGUAGGCGGGAAAGCAAGUCAGAUGUGAAAUCCUAUGGCUUAACCAUAGAACUGCAUUUGAAACUGUAAGUCUAGAGUAUAGGAGAGGUAGGUGGAAUUCUUGGUGUAGGGGUAAAAUGCGUAGAGAUCAAGAGGAAUACUCAUGGCGAAGGCGACCUGCUAGAACGUAACUGACGCUGAUGCGCGAAAGCGUGGGGAGCAAACAGGAUUAGAUACCCUAGUAGUC
rnacentral:rRNA from 1 species